rnacentral:rRNA from 1 species
AUUGAACGCUGGCGGCAGGCUUAACACAUGCAAGUCGAACGGUAACAUAAAGAAGCUUGCUUCUUUGAUGACGAGUGGCGGACGGGUGAGUAAUGCUUGGGAAUCUAGCUUAUGGAGGGGGAUAACUACGGGAAACUGUAGCUAAUACCGCGUAGAAUCGAGAGAUGAAAGUGUGGGACCUUCGGGCCACAUGCCAUAGGAUGAGCCCAAGUGGGAUUAGGUAGUUGGUGAGGUAAAGGCUCACCAAGCCGACGAUCUCUAGCUGGUCUGAGAGGAUGACCAGCCACACUGGGACUGAGACACGGCCCAGACUCCUACGGGAGGCAGCAGUGGGGAAUAUUGCGCAAUGGGGGCAACCCUGACGCAGCCAUGCCGCGUGAAUGAAGAAGGCCUUCGGGUUGUAAAGUUCUUUCGGUAGCGAGGAAGGCAUUUAGUUUAAUAAACUAGGUGAUUGAC